GACGAACGCUGGCGGCGUGCUUAACACAUGCCAGUCGAACGGAAAGGCCCUGCUUGCAGGGUGCUCGAGUGGCGAACGGGUGAGUAACACGUGGGUGAUCUGCCCCUUACUUUGGGAUAAGCCUGGGAAACUGGGUCUAAUACUGGAUAGGACCAUGCUGUAGGUGGUGUGGUGGAAAGAUUAGUUUCGGUAAGGGAUGAGCUCGCGGCCUAUCAGCUUGUUGGUGGGGUAAUGGCCUACCAAGGCGUCGACGGGUAGCCGGCCUGAGAGGGUGGACGGCCACAUUGGGACUGAGAUACGGCCCAGACUCCUACGGGAGGCAGCAGUGGGGAAUAUUGCACAAUGGGCGCAAGCCUGAUGCAGCGACGCCGCGUGGGGGAUGACGGCCUUCGGGUUGUAAACUCCUUUCAGCCAUGACGAAGCCUUCGGGUGACGGUAGUGGUAGAAGAAGCACCGGCUAACUACGUG
rnacentral:rRNA from 1 species